UACGUAGGGUGCAAGCGUUAAUCGGAAUUACUGGGCGUAAAGCGUGCGCAGGCGGUUCGCUAAGUCCGAUGUGAAAUCCCCGGGCUUAACCUGGGAACUGCAUUGGUGACUGGCGGGCUAGAGUAUGGCAGAGGGGGGUAGAAUUCCACGUGUAGCAGUGAAAUGCGUAGAGAUGUGGAGGAAUACCGUUGGCGAAGGCAGCCCCCUGGGCCAAUACUGACGCUGAGGAGCGAAAGCGUGGGGAGCGAACAGG
rnacentral:rRNA from 1 species